UCUGAAUGGUAAGAAAUUGUAACAGAGACGCUGGAGUUUGGUUAGAAUCCAUGAGCGGAAGUUUAUUAAAGGUCAAGGCUUUAAACAGAUGUCGAUAAUCAGGCAGAGGGUCAAAGUCAGAGAAGCAAGCAGAUCGUUCGUCAUACACAGGGGCAGAAGCAGAGACAAUAGUGGAAAGGCAGGCAAUGAGUCCAAACACAAACAUCAGUCCAAUCAGGCGUCAGAACAAAAGGGGCAGAGUACAAAUACCGUGAGU